rnacentral:other from 1 species
CUUUCAACUCAUCCCUAGCUGGGAUAGUUGUUGAAAC